GGAGAUUUAGCUCAGCGGCAUAAGCGCCUGCCUUGCAAGCUGGCAGUCAUGAGUUCAAUCUCCG
rnacentral:tRNA from 1 species